rnacentral:rRNA from 1 species
UUGAUCCUGGCUCAGAAUCAACGCUGGCGGCGUGCCUAACACAUGCAAGUCGAACGCGAAAGUCCCGAAAGGGAUUAGUAGAGUGGCAAACGGGUGAGUUACACGUGGGUGACCUGCCUUCGAGUGGGGGAUAACGUCCCGAAAGGGACUCUAAUACCGCAUAACAUCCUGCCUUUGAAGAGGCGGAGAUCAAAGCUGGUGAUCGCAAGACCUAGCGCUGGAAGAGGGGCCCGCGCCUGAUUAGCUAGUUGGUGAGGUAACGGCUCACCAAGGCAACGAUCAGUAUCCGGCCUGAGAGGUCGGACGGACACACUGGGACUGAGACACGGCCCAGACUCCUACGGGAGGCUGCAGUGGGGAAUUGUUCGCAAUGGGCGCAAGCCUGACGACGCAACGCCGUGUGGAGGAUGAAGACCUUCGGGUCGUAAACUCCUUUCGAUCGAGACGAAUAGCCUUCGGGUGAACAAUCCGGAGGUCUGACGGUACCGAGAGAAGAAGCUCCGGCUAACUCCGUGCCAGCAGCCGCU